UACGUAGGGUGCAAGCGUUGUCCGGAAUUAUUGGGCGUAAAGAGCUCGUAGGCGGUCUGUCGCGUCGGCUGUGAAAACUCGGGGCUCAACCCCGAGCCUGCAGCCGAUACGGGCAGACUAGAGUUCGGUAGGGGAGACUGGAAUUCCUGGUGUAGCGGUGAAAUGCGCAGAUAUCAGGAGGAACACCGGUGGCGAAGGCGGGUCUCUGGGCCGAUACUGACGCUGAGGAGCGAAAGCGUGGGUAGCGAACAGG
rnacentral:rRNA from 1 species